rnacentral:rRNA from 1 species
GUGGUCGGUGUACAGGUGGUGCAUGGCUGUCGUCAGCUCGUGUCGUGAGAUGUUGGGUUAAGUCCCGCAACGAGCGCAACCCUUGUCCCGUGUUGCCAGCAGGCCCUUGUGGUGCUGGGGACUCACGGGAGACCGCCGGGGUCAACUCGGAGGAAGGUGGGGACGACGUCAAGUCAUCAUGCCCCUUAUGUCUUGGGCUGCACACGUGCUACAAUGGCCGGUACAAUGAGCUGCGAUACCGUGAGGU